rnacentral:rRNA from 1 species
UGAUCUUAGCUCAGGUAGGGCUGCCCACUGAGUUUAAGCAUAUCAAUAAGCGGAGG